rnacentral:rRNA from 1 species
UACAGAGGGUGCAAGCGUUACUCGGAAUUACUGGGCGUAAAGCGUGCGUAGACGGUUAUGUAAGUCGGGUGUGAAAGCCCCGGGCUCAACCUGGGAAUUGCAUUCGAGACUGCAUAGCUAGGGUGCGGAAGAGGGAAGCGGAAUUUCCGGUGUAGCGGUGAAAUGCGUAGAUAUCGGAAGGAACACCAGUGGCGAAUGCGGCUUCCUGGUCCAGCACCGACGUUCAGGCACGAAAGCGUGGGGAGCAAACAGG